rnacentral:rRNA from 1 species
ACGGGGGGUGCGAGCGUUGUCCGGAAUCACUGGGCGUAAAGGGCGCGUAGGUGGCUUUGUAAGUUUGCGGUGAAAGCCCGGGGCUCAACCCCGGGUCGGCCGUGCGAACUGUCGAGCUGGAGCACUGUAGAGGCAGGUGGAAUUCCGGGUGUAGCGGUGGAAUGCGUAGAGAUCCGGAAGAACACCGGUGGCGAAGGCGGCCUGCUGGGCAGUGGCUGACGCUGAGGCGCGACAGCGUGGGGAGCAAACAGGA